rnacentral:rRNA from 1 species
UACGAAGGGGGGCUAGCGUUGUUCGGAAUUACUGGGCGUAAAGGGCGCGUAGGCGGUGUGUCAAGUCAGGCGUGAAAGCCCCGGGUUCAACCUGGGAACCGCGCUUGAGACUGGCACGCUAGAGUUCGGGAGAGGAUGGUGGAAUUCCCAGUGUAGAGGUGAAAUUCGUAGAUAUUCGGAAGAACACCAGUGGCGAAGGCGGCUCACUGGACUGGUAUUGACGCUGAGGUGCGAAAGCGUGGGGAGCAAACAGG